GAGAAAAAAGAGGAAGCAAGAGAAUGAGAGAAAGAGAACGAGAAGGGGAGAAAAGAUGAAAGAAAAGAAGAGAAAAUAAGGGAGAGAAUGAGAGUGAGAAAGGAAGAUAAAAUGAAAGUAUUGGAUGGUAUUUGAAGGGCAGACUUAUGGGCAUGAAAGAGACUAUUAAAUUAUAGUUGAAAUUAGAGAGCAUGGGGUGGGGGUAAAAGCGGAAUGUUAGUUCUUGCCUUACUAAAAAUCAGUUAUUCAUACUUCAUUUUGACUUUGUGUUUUCUCAAGCAAGUGACUUAUCUUUUAUGUGGGUGUUUUUAUAUUGCCUUGGAAGGGAAAUGUUUAUUAGCUACCUUUCUCUUACUUUUAAUCAACCCCAAAACCCCAUCAGCAUUCUUUCUUCUGAUGCCUCAUUUGUCUACUGUAGCCUGAAAAUGAAAUAUCUGCAGACAGAACUAUAUUAAAACGCAAUGAAUACUCCUCUGUCAGAAGGCCUUGAGCUGAGUUUUUCUGGUGUCUGGGGGAAGCUAUGACCCCGUCAUCCAUGCUUCUGCCCUCAGUCUCCUUUUUAUGCAUGCAUAUACUUGGAUAUGGGACGUAGACAAACAGUUUCAGCAGCUGACAUCCUCUGAGUUCAGGGGAAAAGUUAUGAUUAUUCUGGGUGAUUGUAGCUUUUUGCAGCAGAAGAGUCAUAUUAUGCAAAACUUACAAAUGAAGAGAACUGGCAGUUGUGAUUAGUGGUUCUUCUCUUCUGUGGUAUGAAAAGGAGUCAACCUGGGUACAUCCCCUAUUUCCAGAAGACAGAAAGAAGAAUCAGAAGCAGUGUGUGUUCAUAUGGGAAGGGCAGCAUAUAAUGGUUUUGCCCUGUGCUAUGUUAACUAAGGCUCUUUUUCCUGUAGAACAUUAUCUUGGUCCACUGUCUCAAUGACAUCAUGUUAAUUGGACUGGAUGAGGAAGAAAUGGCAAGUGCAUUGGAGGUUUUGGUAAGACACAUACAUGUACUCCAAAGAACAGAAGAUGCAUCUAAUGAAGAUUCAAGGACCUGACAUAUCCGUUUUUAGGAAUAUAGCCAUUUGGGACAUGCCAGAACAGCUUUUUGAAAGAAAAGGACAGUCUAAUGCCUCUCAUAUUGUGCACCCCUAAGAAAGAAGCACAGCUUUUUAAAGGCUUCUUUGGGUUCUAGGGACAGCAUAUUUCAUACUUGGAAAUACUGUUUCAACUCAUUCGCCAAGUGACACAAAAGAUUACCAACUUCAUUUGAGACUUCAAGCAAAAAAGAGCUCUGCUACGUGAUUUGCCACCGGAACUUGGUAGAUGGAAAAUAUGAGAGCUCAACUGACCAUGCAGCCAGAACUGCCCAUCCUAACUUAGGUAUUUCCAACCUCCAUCAAAUCAUAAGGUUGAGCUAAACCAAUAGCAAUCCACUGUAAGAUCGAAGUGAUAUAUCUGGAAUUGGGAAUUGGCAGAGACAAAAGGCAGAAGUUAAGUUUCAGAGGGCACGGACCUCCAAAUAACCUACCAUUGUUAUGCUAUCACCUUUCCCUAAGCUCACCCCUGUUAUACUGUCACCUUUCCCUAAGCUCACCCCUGUUAUACUGUCACCUUUCCCUAAGCUCACCGUUAUACUGUUGCCUUUCCCUAUAGCCACGUAGGCAUCCCUUUUGACUGACUGACAAAGGAAGAAAAAGUUACACCUGGGUCAUGAAUGGGUUGGCUCUCUAUGGGGGUCCAAGCUGAGAAAGCACUGUUGCUACUCUACAGUUCCACCUUUGGUGUGAGUAGAUAUUCCAUAAUAUUUCUGUAAACCUUCUGAUGGUGUCCCUGAGAGACAGCAAUGAGGAGUAACACUCUCAAUGUUUAGAGGAUCAGAUGGUCACAGCCAUUUUUAUGGCUGGAGGUAAGAAUAAAUAGGAACUUACAGGAAGUAACCUCUCGUUUGGCUGAUUGGAUGGGGGCUUGGAAGAAGAGCGAUAGAAAGAUCAUAGAAAAAAAGAUCUGGGAAAGAGGCAUGUGCCUCUGCCUGUGGCUGUAGAUUGGAAGUUUGAAUAUCUUUGCAUCUCAUGGCACUGCCCGCAAGGAAACAUUCACCAAGAAUGAGGCAUUAAACAGCCGUGUAGACAGCAUGACUCAGCCAGUUGAUGUCAUCAGCAUUUCAUUGCCCAAUGCUGGCCUGAUGGAUGCAUGAAGAAACUGAUCAUUGCUGAGGGAUGGGCUCAGUGGCAUUUGUCCUCACUAACCAAGGCUGAUUUAGGUAUUGUUCUCCAACUCCAUCUAGCUGCUGAUUCCCCAAAUUGCUAGCAAAAGAGAUCAUUACUGAGUCUCUGGUACAGCAAAAUCCCUCAGGGAAACCAACCAGCCGCUCAGUGGCAAGUUGAUUACACUGGAACCUUUCUAUCCUGGAAAAGGUAGUGAUUCAUCUCGACUGGAAAAGUCACAUAUUGUGGUAUGAGUUUCCUUUUCCUACCACAAGGCCUCAGCUAGCACCAUCAGAAGAACGGAAUAUCUACCCACACCAUAUAUGGUGUAACAUAGCCUCAGACCAAACAACAAUGUUGUAGGAGUGUACACAUAACCAUGUAUCUAUUGGUUCUGUUACAUUCUGCACCACUCUGAAGUUGCAGGUCUGAAAGAUAAUGGAAUUGACUUUUGAAGGAGCAGCUUAGAUACUGGCUUGCAGAUGAUACCUUGCACAGAUGAGGCAUUAUCUUUCAGGAUGUAAUAUAUACCCUAAAUCAAAGACCCUUUUACAGUUCUAUUCUCCAGUGGGUCCAGGAUGGCUCUACUUAUCAUCACUACCAGUGAAUGACUCAGUUGAGAAAUGUUUCCUCAAUAAUGCAUGUUUUGGUUCUGUGGAUUCUAAACUAGGUUCUGGAUUCUAAAGUGGAAAUUGUUUUACCAGGGGGCCCAGUAAGAGUCCCAUUAAACUUUAAACUAUGGCUACUGUAGGGUCAUUUAAGUUUCUUCAUGUCAAGAGUCCAGUAAGCAAUAAAAGAAAACAAUGUUGGUAGAGGUAAUUGAUUCCGGCCAUUAGGAGGCCAUCCUCCUAAUGGCCUCCUAGGGGUACUCAGUGGGGUCUGGAAAGCAUAAGUUUGGUUGUCAGGUUAUCUACUGGAUCAUGUCUUGAUACUUUCCUGAUUUUUUCAAGAAAUGGACAAGUACAGCAGCCACAGUAUGGUGUGGUUACCAGAAGCCUAGGCACUCAGGGAUGACUGUCUGGGUAACCCCACCAGGUAAGCCAUCUAGAUCAUCAGAGGUGCUAAAUUAGGGUCAAAACAAUCUGGAAUAGGUUGCAGAGGAGGGAGAAAAUGAGUUUCAGUUUCAGCUGUAAAACCAGCUAUAUUGGCAAAAGCUAUAUAUAUAGUUCAUGCUACUCAUCUUUCUUUUGUAAAGUUUCCCAGAAAAAGAGACCAACCAGAAACUUGAAGGAGUUCUUCCCAGAUGGAAUAAAUUUACCGUGUGAAUCACGUGAAUCCAAGGGAUGCAAGGAUUGGCCUAUACUGGAUUGGAUGCUCUGGUAUACUACUCAGAUUUCCUCUUCAGAACUAAUGCAUUUAUCCCCCAGCUAUGAAAUUGUUGGCUGCUGGCAGUCUAUAGCUAAUGCAGUCACUGGAAAUUAUCCUUGGUUGAAGGGACCUAACUUGUCCAAGUCUACACCUAUUUCCAGGAAUAGUUCAAUCCAUUGACUUGUUGAUGCAGGACUACACAGGUCAAGCCUUCUUGUUUUGAUGUGGACAAAUCUGAAGGGAUAUCCCAGCUCCAGACCUCGCAUAGGUCUGAGCUAAAGAGACCUCAUAGGUCUGUGUCAAUUUCUGUCUUUACCCA
ensembl:lncRNA novel transcript